rnacentral:rRNA from 1 species
CGCGGCCUAUCAGCUUGUUGGUGGGGUAACGGCCUACCAAGGCAUCGACGGGUAGCUGGUCUGAGAGGACGAUCAGCCACACUGGGACUGAGACACGGCCCAGACUCCUACGGGAGGCAGCAGUGGGGAAUAUUGCGCAAUGGGCGAAAGCCUGACGCAGCAACGCCGCGUGUGGGAUGACAGCUUUCGGGUUGUAAACCACUUUCAGUGACGACGAAAAUGACGGUAGUCACAGAAGAAGGUCCGGCCAGCUACGUGCCAGCAGCCGCGGUAACACGUAGGGACCAAGCGUUGUCCGGAUUUAUUGGGCGUAAAGAGCUCGUAGGCGGUUCCGUAAGUCGGAUGUGAAAACUCAGGGCUCAACCCUGAGACGCCAUCUGAUACUGCGGUGACUAGAGUCCGGUAGGGGAGCAUGGAAUUCCUGGUGUAGCGGUGGAAUGCGCAGAUAUCAGGAGGAACACCAAUGGCGAAGGCAGUGCUCUGGGCCGGAACUGACGCUGAGGAGCGAAAGCAUGGGGAGCAAACAGGAUUAGAUACCCUGGUAGUCCAUGCCGUAAACGUUGGGCACUAGGUGUGGGAUCUUCUAACGGAUUCCGUGCCGUAGCUAACGCAUUAAGUGCCCCGCCUGGGGAGUACGG